UCGAGAAUCAUUCACAAUGGGCGAAAGCCUGACGGAGCAACGCCGCGUGAGGGAUGAAGGCCUCUGGGCUGUAAACCUCUUUUAUCAAGGAAGAAGAUCUGACGGUACUUGAUGAAUAAGCCACGGCUAAUUCCGUGCCAGCAGCCGCGGUAAUACGGGAGUGGCAAGCGUUAUCCGGAAUUAUUGGGCGUAAAGCGUCCGCAGGCGGCCCUUCAAGUCUGCUGUUAAAAAGUGGAGCUUAACUCCAUCAUGGCAGUGGAAACUGUUGGGCUUGAGUGUGGUAGGGGCAGAGGGAAUUCCCGGUGUAGCGGUGAAAUGCGUAGAUAUCGGGAAGAACACCAGUGGCGAAGGCGCUCUGCUGGGCCAUCACUGACGCUCAUGGACGAAAGCCAGGGGAGCGAAAGGG
rnacentral:rRNA from 1 species